rnacentral:rRNA from 1 species
GAUGAACGCUGACAGAAUGCUUAACACAUGCAAGUCUACCAAGAAUCACUUCGGUGAGGAAUGGUGGCGGACGGGUGAGUAACGCGUAAAUAAUCUGCCCUUUAGACCGGGAUAUCCUUUGGAAACGAAGGUUAAUACCGGAUAUCAUGAGAUGGACGCAUGUUCAACUUAUGAAAGCUAAAUGCACUAGAGGAGGAGUUUGCGUCCCAUUAGCUAGUUGGUGAGGUAAAGGCUCACCAAGGCCACGAUGGGUAGCCGGCCUGAGAGGGUGAACGGCCACAAGGGAACUGAGACACGGUCCUUACUCCUACGGGAGGCAGCAGUGGGGAAUAUUGGACAAUGGACCAAAAGUCUGAUCCAGCAAUUCUGUGUGCACGAUGAAGGUCUUCGGAUUGUAAAGUGCUUUCAGUAGGGAAGAAAAAAUGACGGUACCUACAGAAGAAGCGACGGCUAAAUAUGUGCCAGCAGCCGCCGUAA